UACUGCAGUCGAAAUAUUGUUUAAUGAGUACUGAAAAGAUCCAUUUCAUUUACGACAUAGCACAUUCAGACACGAACAUCGACCAGUAAAUAGAUCACAAAGCUACAACAACGAUUUCACACCCGAAAGCCAGGGUUUCUUUGCAAAUCCCGCCACUGCUAUAAUAUAUAAGUAUUUCCAAAGCCCUUAAUGCUCUCAUUGUGAAUUUCAAUUUCUCGAACCAUUGAUCGUCAUUUUGUUUACUCAACGACGCUACAUUACGUCUGCCGUAAUGAAAUCGAAUUGAUUCGUAUUAUACAAAUCCGAUGAUUGAUGCCUUAAGUCAUUCGCCUGUGACGUUAGGAAAUAAGAAAAACAAAAAUCUUCAGGUAUGUUUCUGCUGCAAUUUGUGAUAAACGUUUGGCUGCUUAAGAAUAAGGUUUCGGUACUGUAAUACAAUAUAAAAUAUAUAAACCUAAUACAGAGAUAGGAAUGUGCUUUUAACGACCGUUACAAAAUAUCAAAAGAUUGAAGUUGAAUUGAUUUGAAUUUAUUUACUGUUUUCUUGUUACCCUACAAAUAUGGGGACAGAAAUCGUUAAAGCAACAAUAAAUAAUAAAGAAACCA